rnacentral:rRNA from 1 species
AAACCAGCACCUCAAGUGGUCAGGAGGUUUAUUGGGCCUAAAGCAUCCGUAGCCUGAUCUAUAAGUUUCCGGUUAAAUCCACAUGCUCAACAUUUGGGCUGCCGGAAAAACUGUAGAUCUCGGGAGUGGGAGAGGUAGACGGUACUCGGUAGGAAGGGGUAAAAUCCUUUGAUCUAUUGAUGACCACCAGUGGCGAAGGCGGUCUACCAGAACACGUUCGACGGUGAGGGAUGAAAGCUGGGGGAGCAAACCGGAUUAGAAACCCCAGUAGUCC